UACAGAGGUCUCAAGCGUUGUUCGGAUUUAUUGGGCGUAAAGGGCGCGUAGGCGGCGGGGUAAGUCGGGUGUGAAAUCUCAGGGCUCAACCCUGAAACUGCACUUGAUACUGCUCUGCUUGAGGACUGGAGAGGAGACUGGAAUUCACGGUGUAGCAGUGAAAUGCGUAGAUAUGACAUAGAACACCGAUAGCGAAGGCAGCUUACUACAGGAAGAUUGACGCUGAGGCACGAAAGCGUGGGGAGCAAACAGG
rnacentral:rRNA from 1 species